GGCGGCGAUGGGUACUCCUUCUCCAACAGGCCAGCAGCUACCCAAUCGGCAGCCAGCAACUGAACAACGGCGACUCUGCUCCGGCACCUGCAGUAGGUUAUGACGUAGUGUCGUCAAUUUCAGUAUUUCCUACGGCGAUUUCGUCAUUUCCCGAUGGCGUUUCUUCAUUGCCAAUCACGGUAUCAGGUAAAAUUCACUUAACACUAUUCAAAUUUUUGAAUUUUAGCAUGUUGUGAUUUUGACUUUGUUUGCUACUGAAAUCUUUCUUUGUAGCUGGCGAUUUAACGACCGGUUUGGUGGCGGAAAUUGUAGCUACUACGCCUGCUUUUAGCUCUACGACACUAACUUCUAGCUUCGCGAUUCCAAAGGCAAUAACUUCUGGCUUUCCGGUAACCAAUAAUUCAAGUUCUCCUAAGUUGGUAGCUACUACUUUCUCUGAAUUCACGGCUUAAAAGCCGGCUUUCAACCCUUUUGCUAUACCAUCCACCUCUUCUCCUCCAGAUAAAGGGUGAAGUAAAUGGCAUUGUUGAUUCUAGACAUACUGCCUUUUCAAAUUUUCAGCCUUUGAUGCCGCCAUCCGAGAGAAACAUCACGACAUGAAUUUAUAAGCCGUUUGUUCAUAAUUUGUGAAAGUGAAGUCUGUUUGCCGAUAAGAAUGAGAUAAGCUGAAGUGUAGCAUCUCUUUUCAAUUUUCCUCCAUCUCACUUGCCACACACUGCUGAGAACUCCUCCACCAACUUUGAUACUAUUUAGCAAUAUUUGUAUAUGGAACUAGUCAAGUAGUUGAUAGUUGUAAUGAUUUAGCACCUUCAAAAGUUGUUGGAUGAUGUUCCUUCUAUUUAUCUCAUAGGACAUUUUUUCA